rnacentral:rRNA from 1 species
UACAGAGGUCUCAAGCGUUGUCCGGAAUCAUUGGGCGUAAAGGGCGCGUAGGUGGCCCAGCAAGCGUGCGGUGAAAGCUCGGGGCUCAACCCCGGGUCGGCCGUGCGAACUGCGGGGCUGGAGCACUGUAGAGGCAGGCGGAAUUCCGGGUGUAGCGGUGGAAUGCGUAGAGAUCCGGAAGAACACCGGUGGCGAAGGCGGCCUGCUGGGCAGUUGCUGACACUGAGGCGCGACAGCGUGGGGAGCAAACAGG